UACAGAGGGUGCAAGCGUUAAUCGGAAUUACUGGGCGUAAAGCGUGCGUAGUCGGUUAUCUAAGUCAGGUGUGAAAUCCCCGGGCUCAACCUGGGAAUUGCAUUUGAUACUGGAUAGCUAGAGUUCGGCAGAGGGAAGUGGAAUUUCUGGUGUAGCGGUGAAAUGCGUAGAUAUCAGAAGGAACAUCAGUGGCGAAAGCGACUUCCUGGACCAGAACUGACGAUCAGGCACGAAAGCGUGGGGAGCAAACAGGAUUAGAUACCCUGGUAGUCCACGCCAUAAACGAUGACAACUAGACGUUGGGGACAUAUGGUCCACAGUGUCGCAGCUAACGCGUUAAGUUGUCCGCCUGGGGAGUACGGCCGCAAGGUUGAA
rnacentral:rRNA from 1 species